AUUCAAAGUAGAUUUUAAAACGACCUUGUGGCUUGGAAUCUCUUUUUCUGCUACUCGUCUCUGCUGGUGCUGGACUGGUCUCUCUGCUGACUGAGGAGUCAAUACUACUUCUGCUGCUCCUGCUUCUUUGGAAACUGGUAUAUACUGAUGUAGUUGACUCUGGAGACCUCGUUGAACUACUUGAAUGGAAUUGCACCAAAAUUGAAGUUUUACACAAGUUGUCUUAUUUCUGAAAGCCUGUUGAGUUCAGAAAAAGCUCAAAAGCAGGAUCUGCUAUAGUGUCCUCACAGCAUGGAAGCCUCCUCUCCAUUUCCAUUGCUCACUGAACCUGAAGAAUGUUUUUAACUCCACAAUACCUGGGAAGCAACAAGAUCUGAAGAAAGAUUGUCUUUGUAGGACAAGGUAGUUUGCUGUUGUAGUGAGGUCUGAAGUACAUCUUCUAGGAAAAUGAAGCAAAUGGAGAGUGUUCUAAGAAGAAUAGAUUUCAUCCUGGAAAGUCACUUACAUUUUCCUCUGGGACUGGUGGUGUGCAGAAGCUAACAGAGAUGAUGACAGCAGCUGUGAGUACACACAGGAUGAUGGCAAAAUACAGAUAGUGCAAGUCCUUCAACACAGCUGGCCUUUGGUCCUCCUCACCACAGGCAGGCACUCUGUAGAUAAACUCCAACACCAUCCGAAUGAAACCAACUGCUAGUCCAAACAUCAAGCCCCAAAAAGCACCCUGGGUAGAGAACAUGGGGAGAGAUGUGGUGAAAUGAGUAGAAAUGUUGGGAAUAUUAACUUGUUUACACAUGUCUUCACUAGAUUGUCUCAAUAUGGAAAUUGUAUUGUAAAAUAGAGUGUCAGAACUGGUAAAUGUCUGUACAAAUCUCAACCUAGCCCCAUAGGUUUU